rnacentral:misc_RNA from 1 species
GAGGAGUCGAGGAUUUGCGCGAGUGUUUGGGUGUACAACCCGCACGCGCAAUGAAAGUGAACGUAGGUGAGAGCUUCGGCGCAUCAUCGACCGAUCCUGAUGUAUUCGGAUGGAUUUGAGUCAGAGCAUAUAUGCUGGGACCCGAAAGAUGGUGAACUAUGCCUGGAUAGGUUGAAGUCAGGGGAAACCCUGAUGGAGGACCGUAGCGAUUCUGACGUGCAAAUCGAUCGUAGGAGCUGGGUAUAGGGGCGAAAGACUAAUCGAACCAUCUAGUAGCUGGUUCCUGU